rnacentral:misc_RNA from 1 species
ACAACUCAGAGAAUGCAGUAUACCUAUCAGUUACAAAGCCAAAUAAAAAGCAGAAUUAUGAUAAAGCUUCAGCUAUAUUGCAAAUGAAAAAUAUGAUACAAUGUUGUCUAUUGAUUGGGAUAUUCAACAUUUUAUUUUCCAUGCAUCUGAAUGAAAUCAAUAGCAAAAAUUUGCAUGUGUGUACACUACUGGAAUUAUAAUUUAGCAGAGUUCCCAGCCCCUGUAAAUGCCAUUUGCCAACCAUAGAACGCUGUAUGUAUUGGGUUGUGGUACAGCUACGUGGUACGCCACUUGGCUGGAUGGGUAUGCAAGGAG